rnacentral:rRNA from 1 species
GACGAACCGUGCGAACGUUAUUCGGAAUCACUGGGCUUAAAGCGCGUGUAGGCGGGACGGCACGUCGGUCGCUGAAAGCCCCCGGCUCAACCGGGGAACGGGCGCCGAUACGACCGGCUCGAGGGAGCGUAGGGGGACCUGGAACUUCCGGUGGAGCGGUGAAAUGCGUUGAGAUCGGAAGGAACGCCCGUGGCGAAAGCGAGGUCCUGGACGUCUGCUGACGCUGAGACGCGAAAGCCAGGGGAGCGAACGGG